rnacentral:rRNA from 1 species
AGAGUUUGAUCCUGGCUCAGAUUGAACGCUGCGGCAUGCGUAACACAUGCAAGUCGAACGGUGUUGGUGCUUGCACCAGACAUAGUGGCGGACGGGUGAGUAAUGCGUAGGAAUCUGUCUUAGAGAGGGGGACAACCCGAGGAAACUUGGGCUAAAACCGCAUAUUCUCGAGAGAGGAAAGCAGGGGACCGGAAACGGCCUUGUGCUCUAAGGUGAGCCUACGUCGGAUUAGCUAGUUGGUAGGGUAAAAGCCUACCAAGGCGAUGAUCUGUAGCUGGUCUGAGAGGACGGACAGCCACACUGGGACUGAGACACGGCCCAGACUCCUACGGGAGGCAGCAGUGGGGAAUAUUGGACAAUGGGGGGAACCCUGAUCCAGCGAUGCCGCGUGUGUGAAGAAGGCCUGCGGGUUGUAAAGCACUUUCAGUGGGAAAGAGAAGCGUCUUGUGAAUAAUGGGACGUGGAGACGUUACUCACAGAAGAAGCACCGGCUAACUCUGUG